CAGCAGGCCACGCCAAAUUACCCACUCCCAGCACGGGGAGGUAGUGACAAAAAAUAACGAUACGGGACUCAUCCGAGGCCCCGUAAUCGGAAUGAGAACACUUUAAAUCCUUUAACGAGGAUCUAUUGGAGGGCAAGUCUGGUGCCAGCAGCCGCGGUAAUUCCAGCUCCAAUAGCGUAUAUUAAAGUUGUUGCGGUUAAAAAGCUCGUAGUUGGUUCUGCGUGCCGCGCUGUCGGUUCACCGCCUGCCGGUGCAACUGGCAUGCCGCGGCAUGUCCUGCCGGUGGUGGACAGGUCUGGCGGCGUGCCCCAUGCGGUAUACCAGCGUGUGGGUGCCGCGCCGCUUUGGCUUUGUCCACCGUCCAAAUCCUACCGCGGUGCUCUUUACCGAGUGUCGAGGUAGGCCGGCACUGUUUACUUUGAAAAAAUGAGAGUGCUCAAAGCAGGCUCUUGAAUCAGCCUGAAUAGUGGUGCAUGGAAUAAUGGAACAGGACCUUGGUUCUAUUUUGUUGGUUUCCGGAAUCCAAGGUAAUGAUCAAUAAGGACAGGCGGGGGCAUCCGUAUUGCGGCGUUAGACUUGGCAAAUGCUUUCGCGGUGAAAUUCUUGGAUCGUCGCAAGACGCACUAAAGCGAAAGCAUUUGCCAAGUAUGUCUUAAUUGAUCAAGAACGAAAGUUAGAGGUUCGAAGGCGAUCAGAUACCGCCCUAGUUCUAACCAUAAACGAUGCCAGCCAGUGAUCCGCCGAUGUUCCUAAGAUGACUCGGCGGGGGGCUUCCCCCGGGAAACCAAAGCUUUUGGGUUCCGGGGGAAGUAUGGUUGCAAAGCUGAAACUUAAAGGAAUUGACGGAAGGGCACCACCAGGAGUGGAGCCUGCGGCUUAAUUUGACUCAACACGGGAAACCUCACCAGGCCCGGACAUUGGAAGGAUUGACAGAUCGAUAGCUCUUUCUCGAUUCAGUGGGUAGUGGUGGCAUGGCCGUUCGUAGUUGGUGG
rnacentral:rRNA from 1 species